rnacentral:tRNA from 3 species
AUCCGUUGGUUUCACAGGACCGUGAGGGUUCGAAUCCCUCUAUCCCCA